rnacentral:rRNA from 1 species
GAGUUUGAUCCUGGCUCAGGACGAACGCUGGCGGCGUGCUUAACACAUGCAAGUCGAACGGAGCGAAUGAAAGCUUGCUUUUAUGAGCUUAGUGGCAAACGGGUGAGUAGCACGUAGACAACCUGCCGACAGGAUGGGGACAACAUUCCGAAAGGAAUGCUAAUACCGAAUGAAGCGGAGGAGAGGCAUCUCUCUUCCGUGAAAGUUGGCCUCUAUUUAUAAGCCAUCACCUGUCGAUGGGUCUGCGUCUGAUUAGCUGGUUGGUGAGGUAACGGCUCACCAAGGCGACGAUCAGUAGCCGGUCUGAGAGGAUGAACGGCCACAUUGGGACUGAGACACGGCCCAGACUCCUACGGGAGGCAGCAGUGGGGAAUCUUCCGCAAUGGGCGCAAGCCUGACGGAGCAACGCCGCGUGAGUGAAGAAGGUCUUCGGAUCGUAAAGCUCUGUUGAUGGGGACGAAUGUACGGAGUGCGAAUAGUGCUCUGUAAUGACGGUACCUAUCGAGGAAGCCACGGCUAACUACGUGCCAGCAGCCGCGGUAAUACGUAGGUGGCGAGCGUUGUCCGGAAUCAUUGGGCGUAAAGGGAGCGCAGGCGGGCAUGUAAGUCUUUCUUAAAAGUUCGGGGCUCAACCCCGUGAUGGGAAAGAAACUACAUGUCUUGAGUACAGGAGAGGAAAGCGGAAUUCCCAGUGUAGCGGUGAAGUGCGUAGAUAUUGGGAGGA